CAAUAGCGUAUAUUAAAGUUGUUGCGGUUAAAAAGCUCGUAGUUGGAUUUCUGCCGAGGACGACCGGUCCGCCCUCUGGGUGAGUAUCUGGCUCGGCCUGGGCAUCUUCUUGGAGAACGUAGCUGCACUUGACUGUGUGGUGCGGUAUCCAGGACUUUACUUGAGGAAAUGAGAGUGUUUUCAAGCAGGCGCCUGUCGUGAAUACGUUAGCAUGGAAUAAUAGCAUGGGACCGCGGUCUGAAGCUGUUGGUUUUUGGGCCGUGGGUAAUUAAAAAUGAGGGAUAGUUAGGGGGUAUUCGUAGUUUAACUGUCAGAGGUGAAAUUCUUGGAUUUU
rnacentral:rRNA from 1 species